AUAAAAAAUAAAAAAGUGGUAUUAUCUUGUUUGAUUUCUUCAGCUUUCAAGACACCUAUGAGAUCUGCCUGUGUUAAACUAUUGACACAUCCUGUUGUAUACAGUCAGGACAUCGGUGCACAGCUAUCAGAGGCUGUAAAGAUCCCUUUGAGACAUGUGGGUGGUAAAAUAUUGACACAUCCUGUAGCAUACCGUCAGGACAUUGGUGCACAGCUAUCAGAUAUGUGUUUUCUCAGAGGAUUUUCAGUGCAGACCAGUCCUAGCAUCAGCCAUCCCCUCAUCAGAUGAUGAACCCCUGAGCUGUGCUCAGUUGUAUACACCCUCAUCACCACAGCCAAAGAAGAAGAAGAAGCAGAAGAAGCUGAUACAUAACAGAGCGGCGAUUCCAUUAUCAAGGGAGACGCAGACCAUUGAUAAUACAUGCUCUUCUGAGACACAAACACCUCGGGAGCCAACGACAAGAACAAUUGCUACACAGACGAAGCGGUGUAUUCAAACCGUCCCCAAGAAGGCCAUUAAAAGAACCGUGAAAGCCUCACAGGAGCCAAC